UACGAAGGGUGCAAACGUUGCUCGGAAUUAUUGGGCGUAAAGCGCACGUAGGCGGCUUAGCAAGUCGGAAGUGAAAUCCCUCGGCUCAACCAAGGAAGUGCUUUCGAAACUGCUGAGCUUGAGUACGAAAGAGGAUCGCGGAAUUCCCGGUGUAGAGGUGAAAUUCGUAGAUAUCGGGAGGAACACCAGUGGCGAAGGCGGCGAUCUGGGUCGAUACUGACGCUGAGGUGCGAAAGCGUGGGGAGCAAACAGG
rnacentral:rRNA from 1 species